GAAUCUACCUUCAGGUUCGGGACAACCACUGGAAACGGUGGCUAAUACCGAAUGUGCCGAGAGGUGAAAGGCUUGCUGCCUGAAGAAGAGCUUGCGUCUGAUUAGCUAGUUGGUGUGGUAAAGGCGCACCAAGGCGACGAUCAGUAGCUGGUCUGAGAGGAUGAUCAGCCACACUGGGACUGAGACACGGCCCAGACUCCUACGGGAGGCAGCAGUGGGGAAUUUUCCGCAAUGGGCGCAAGCCUGACGGAGCAACGCCGCGUGAGGGAUGAAGGCCUCUGGGCUGUAAACCUCUUUUAUCAAGGAAGAAGAACUGACGGUACUUGAUGAAUAAGCCACGGCUAAUUCCGUGCCAGCAGCCGCGGUAAUACGGGAGUGGCAAGCGUUAUCCGGAAUUAUUGGGCGUAAAGCGUCCGCAGGCGGUUUUACAAGUCUGUCGUUAAAGCGUGGAGCUCAACUCCAUUUCAGCGAUGGAAACUGUAAGACUCGAGUGUGGUAGGGGCAGAGGGAAUUCCCGGUGUAGCAGUGAAAUGCGUAGAUAUCGGGAAGAACACCAGUGGCGAAAGCGCUCUGCUGGGCCAUAACUGACGCUCAUGGACGAAAGCCAGGGGAGCG
rnacentral:rRNA from 1 species